UUCCGGUUGAUCCUGCCGGAAGUCAUUGCUAUCCGAGUUCGACUAAGCCAUGCGAGUCGUGAGGGGUUAAGCCCUCGGCGAACUGCUCCAUAAUAUGUAGUUAACCUACCCUUAUCUGGGAGAUACACUUGGGAAACUGAGCUCAAUACCCCAUAACUCUAAUUUUCUGGAAUGAUUUUAGAGUAAAAGCUACGGCGGAUAAGGAUGGGACUGCACGCUAUCAGGCUGUUGAUGGUGUAAAGAACCAUCAAACCGAUAACGGCUACGGGCUAUGGGAGUAGAAGCCCGGAGAUGGACUCUGAGACAUGAGUCCAGGUCUUACGAGACGCAGCAGGCGCGAAAACUUUGCAAUUCGCUAACGCGAGACAAGGGAACUUGGAGUGUUCUUGCUAUGCAAGAACUUUUAUCUUCUGAAAACAGGAAGGUGAAUAAGGUCUGGGGAACACGGGUGCCAGCCACCGCGGUAAUACCCGGGGACCGAGUGAUGGCCAGUAUUAUUUGGUCUAAAGCGUCCGUAGCCGGUUCAACAAGUCCCUAGUGAAAUCUUUCAGCAAACUGAAAGGCGUGCUUGGGAUACUUUUGAACUUGAGACUGAGAGGGGAUAGGGAUACUCUUAGGGUAGGGGUAAAAUCCUGUAAUCCUAAGAGGAUCACCAGUGGCGAAGGCGCCUAUCUGGAACAGGUCUGACGGUGAGGGGCGAAGGCUAGGGGAGCGAUUGGGAUUAGAUACCCCAGUAGUCCUAGCAGUAAACGAUGCCCGCUUGGUGUUGCAGGCUUCUCGGGAGCUUGCAGUGCCGGAGCGUAGUGUAAGCGGGCCACCUGGGAAGUACGGUCGCAAGGCUGAAACUUAAAGGAUUGGCGGGGGAGCACACAGGGGUGGGCGUUGCGGUUUAUUGGAGUCAACGCCGGA
rnacentral:rRNA from 1 species